CGGCUGGCGCAGCUACCAUGCAAGUCGAGCGGAAACAAAGAGUAGCUUGCUACUCUGGCGACGAGCGGCGGACGGGUGAGUAAUGCUUGGGAACAUGCCUUGAGGUGGGGGACAACAGUUGGAAACGACUGCUAAUACCGCAUAAUGUCUACGGACCAAAGGGGGCUUCGGCUCUCGCCUUUAGAUUGGCCCAAGUGGGAUUAGCUAGUUGGUGAGGUAAUGGCUCACCAAGGCGACGAUCCCUAGCUGGUUUGAGAGGAUGAUCAGCCACACUGGGACUGAGACACGGCCCAGACUCCUACGGGAGGCAGCAGUGGGGAAUAUUGCACAAUGGGCGCAAGCCUGAUGCAGCCAUGCCGCGUGUGUGAAGAAGGCCUUCGGGUUGUAAAGCACUUUCAGUCAGGAGGAAAGGUUAGUAGUUAAUACCUGCUAGCUGUGACGUUACUGACAGAAGAAGCACCGGCUAACUCCGUGCCAGCAGCCGCGGUAAUACGGAGGGUGCGAGCGUUAAUCGGAAUUACUGGGCGUAAAGCGUACGCAGGCGGUUUGUUAAGCGAGAUGUGAAAGCCCCGGGCUCAACCUGGGAACUGCAUUUCGAACUGGCAAACUAGAGUGUGAUAGAGGGUGGUAGAAUUUCAGGUGUAGCGGUGAAAUGCGUAGAGAUCUGAAGGAAUACCGAUGGCGAAGGCAGCCACCUGGGUCAACACUGACGCUCAUGUACGAAAGCGUGGGGAGCAAACAGGAUUAGAUACCCUUGGUAGUCA
rnacentral:rRNA from 1 species